UACGGAGGGUGCAAGCGUUAAUCGGAAUUACUGGGCGUAAAGGGCACGCAGGCGGUUUUUUAAGCCGGAUGUGAAAUCCCCGGGCUCAACCUGGGAAUGGCAUACGGGACUGGGAGACUAGAGUACGAGAGAGGGGGGUAGAAUUCCACGUGUAGCGGUGAAAUGCGUAGAGAUGUGGAGGAAUACCGGUGGCGAAGGCGGCCCCCUGGUUCGAUACUGACGCUCAUGUGCGAAGGCGUGGGGAGCAAAC
rnacentral:rRNA from 1 species